CAGCACCCCGAGUGGCCGGGACGAUUAUUGGGCCUAAAGCAUCCGUAGCCGGUUCUACAAGUCUUCCGUUAAAUCCACCUGCUUGACAGAUGGGCCGCGGAGGAUACUAUAAGACUAGGAGGCAGGAGAGGCAAGCGGUACUCAGUGGGUAGGGGUAAAAUCCGUUGAUCCAUUGAAGACCACCAGUGGCGAAGGCGGCUUGCCAGAAUGCGCUCGACGGUGAGGGAUGAAAGCUGGGGGAGCAAACCGGAUUAGAUACCCGAGUAGUCC
rnacentral:rRNA from 1 species